rnacentral:tRNA from 6 species
CGGGGUAUAGCGCAGCUUGGUAGCGCGCGCGCCUGGGGGGCGUGAGGUCGACAGUUCGAAUCUGUCUACUCCGACCA